AACGAACGCUGGCGGCAGGCCUAACACAUGCAAGUCGAGCGAGGACUUCGGUCCUAGCGGCGGACGGGUGAGUAACGCGUGGGAACGUGCCCUUUGCUUCGGAAUAGCCCUGGGAAACUGGGAGUAAUACCGGAUGAGCCCUUUGGGGGAAAGAUUUAUCGGCGAAGGAUCGGCCCGCGUUGGAUUAGGUAGUUGGUGGGGUAAUGGCCUACCAAGCCGACGAUCCAUAGCUGGUUUGAGAGGAUGAUCAGCCACACUGGGACUGAGACACGGCCCAGACUCCUACGGGAGGCAGCAGUGGGGAAUCUUAGACAAUGGGGGAAACCCUGAUCGAGCCAUGCCGCGUGAGCGAUGAAGGCCUCAGGGUUGUAAAGCUCUUUCAGCUGGGAAGAUAAUGACGGUACCAGCAGAAGAAGCCCCGGCUAACUCCGUG
rnacentral:rRNA from 1 species